rnacentral:rRNA from 1 species
GAUGAACGCUAGCUACAGGCCUAACACAUGCAAGUCGAGGAGCAUCGGGAGGGAAGCUUGCUUCCCUUGCCGGCGACCGGCGCACGGGUGAGUAACGCGUAUCGAACCUGCCCCAUACCCGGGGAUAGCCUUGCGAAAGUAAGAUUAAUACCCGAUGGUUUCCUUUUAUCUCCUGAUAGAGGGAAUAAAGAAUUUCGGUAUGGGAUGGCGAUGCGUCUGAUUAGCUUGUUGGCGGGGUAACGGCCCACCAAGGCAACGAUCAGUAGGGGUUCUGAGAGGAAGGUCCCCCACAUUGGAACUGAGACACGGUCCAAACUCCUACGGGAGGCAGCAGUGAGGAAUAUUGGUCAAAUGGGCGAGAGCCUGAACCAGCCAAGUAGCGUGCAGGAAGACGGGCCCCUAUGGGUUGUAAACUGCUUUUAUAGGGGAAUAAAGUGAGCCACGUGUGGUUUUUUGCAUGUACCCUAUGAAUAAGGACCGGCUAAUUCCGUGCCAG